CCUGGCUCAGAUUGAACGCUGGCGGCAUGCCUUACACAUGCAAGGUCGAACGGCAGCACGGGGCAACCCUGGUGGCGAGUGGCGAACGGGUGAGUAACAUAUCGGAACAUACCCUAGAGUGGGGGAUAACGUAGCGAAAGUUACGCUAAUACCGCAUACGCACUAAGGUGGAAAGUGGGGGAUCUUCGGACCUCAUGCUCAUGGAGUGGCCGAUAUCUGAUUAGCUAGUUGGUGAGGUAAAGGCUCACCAAGGCGACGAUCAGUAGCUGGUUUGAGAGAACGACCAGCCACACUGGAACUGAGACACGGUCCAGACUCCUACGGGAGGCAGCAGUGGGGAAUUUUGGACAAUGGGGGCAACCCUGAUCCAGCAAUGCCGCGUGAGUGAAGAAGGCCUUCGGGUUGUAAAGCUCUUUUGUCAGGGAAGAAACGGUGAGUUCUAAUAAAGCUUGCUAAUGACGGUACCUGAAGAAUAAGCACCGGCUAACUACGUG
rnacentral:rRNA from 1 species